rnacentral:rRNA from 1 species
GCCGAUGAAGGACGUUACUAACGACGAUAUGCUUUGGGGAGCUGUAAGUAAGCUUUGAUCCAGAGAUUUCCGAAUGGGGAAACCCAGCAUGAGUUAUGUCAUGUUAUCGAUAUGUGAAUACAUAGCAUAUCAGAAGGCACACCCGGAGAACUGAAACAUCUUAGUACCCGGAGGAAGAGAAAGAAAAUUCGAUUCCCUUAGUAGCGGCGAGCGAAACGGGAAGAGCCCAAACCAACAAGCUUGCUUGUUGGGGUUGUAGGACACUCUAUACGGAGUUACAAAGGACGACAUUAGACGAAUCAUCUGGAAAGAUGAAUCAAAGAAGGUAAUAAUCCUGUAGUCGAAAAUGUUGUCUCUCUUGAGUGGAUCCUGAGUACGACGGAG